CCUAUGGGUGGCAGCAGUGGGGAAUAUUGCGCAAUGGGCGAAAGCCUGACGCAGCGACGCCGCGUGAGGGAUGAAGGUCUUCGGAGCGGAAACCUCUGUCAGCAGGGAAGAACGGUCACUGUGCUAAUCAGCAGUGAAUUGACGGUACCUGCAAAGGAAGCACCGGCUUACUCCGUGCCAGCAGCCGCGGUAAUACGGGGGGUGCGAGCGUUAAUCGGAAUUACUGGGCGUAAAGCGCUCGUAGGCGGUAUGUCAAGUCAAGGGGGAAAUCCCCGCGCCUAACGUGGGAACUGCCUUUGAAACUGGCAAACUUGAGUGUGUGAGAGGAUAGUGGAAUUCCAGGUGUAGGAGUGAAAUCCGUAGAUAUCUGGAGGAACAUCAGUGGCGAAGGCGACUAUCUGGCACAUAACUGACGCUGAGGAGCGAAAGCGUGGGUAGCAAACAGGAUUAGAUACCCGGGUAGUC
rnacentral:rRNA from 1 species